rnacentral:tRNA from 1 species
GGCUUCGUGGUGUAAUGGUCCAGCACGCUUGACGCGUAUUCGAGAGGUCCGUGGUUCGAGUCCCGGCUAGGGCA